rnacentral:rRNA from 1 species
GAUGAACGCUAGCGGCAGGCUUAAUACAUGCAAGUCGUGGGGCAGCAUGAGUGUAGCAAUACAUUUGAUGGCGACCGGCAAACGGGUGCGGAACACGUACACAACCUUCCUAUAAGUGGGGAAUAGCCCAGAGAAAUUUGGAUUAAUACCCCGUAACAUAACGAUGUGGCAUCACAUUGUUAUUAUAGCUUCGGCGCUUAUUGAUGGGUGUGCGGCUGAUUAGAUAGUUGGCGGGGUAACGGCCCACCAAGUCUACGGUCAGUAGCUGAUGUGAGAGCAUGAUCAGCCACACUGGAACUGAGACAAGGUCCAGACUCCUACGGGAGGCAGCAGUGGGGAAUUUUGCGCAAUGGGCGAAAGCCUGACGCAGCAACGCCGCGUGAGUGAUGGAGGCCUUCGGGUCGUAAAGCUCCGUCAGAGGGAAAGAAAUGUAUAGUGGUUAAUACCCAUUAUGCUUGACGGUACCCUCAAAGGAAGCACCGGCUAACUCCGUGCCAGCAGCCGCGGUAAUAC